AUUGAACGCUGGCGGCAUGCCUUACACAUGCAAGUCGAACGGCAGCACGGGAGCAAUCCUGGUGGCGAGUGGCGAACGGGUGAGUAAUAUAUCGGAACGUGCCCAGUCGUGGGGAUAACGUAGCGAAAGCUACGCUAAUACCGCAUACUAUCUAUGGAUGAAAGCGGGGGAUCGCAAGACCUCGCGCGAUUGGAGCGGCCGAUAUCAGAUUAGGUAGUUGGUGAGGUAAAGGCUCACCAAGCCGACGAUCUGUAGCUGGUCUGAGAGGACGACCAGCCACACUGGGACUGAGACACGGCCCAGACUCCUACGGGAGGCAGCAGUGGGGGAAUUUUUGGACAAUGGGCGCAAGCCUGAUCCAGCAAUGCCGCGUGCAGGAUGAAGGCCUCGGUUGGUAACGUUA
rnacentral:rRNA from 1 species